UACGGGGGGGGCAAGCGUUGUUCGGAAUUACUGGGCGUAAAGGGCUCGUAGGCGGCCAACUAAGUCAGACGUGAAAUCCCUCGGCUUAACCGGGGAACUGCAUCUGAUACUGGAUGGCUUGAGUUCGGGAGAGGGAUGCGGAAUUCCAGGUGUAGCGGUGAAAUGCGUAGAUAUCUGGAGGAACACCGGUGGCGAAGGCGGCAUCCUGGACCGGCACUGACGCUGAGGAGCGAAAGCCAGGGGA
rnacentral:rRNA from 1 species